rnacentral:rRNA from 1 species
CCUACGGGUGGCUGCAGUGGGGAAUAUUGCGCAAUGGGCGAAAGCCUGACGCAGCAACGCCGUGUGAGGGAUGAAGGCUUUCGGGUCGUAAACCUCUGUCGGAAGGGAAGAACGGGCAUUGGUCUAAUAGGCCUUUGUUUUGACGGUACCUUUAGAGGAAGCACCGGCUAACUCCGUGCCAGCAGCCGCGGUAAUACGGAGGGUGCAAGCGUUAUUCGGAAUUACUGGGCGUAAAGCGCACGUAGGCCGCUUUGUAAGUCAGGGGUGAAAUCCCACGGCUCAACCGUGGAACUGCCUUUGAAACUGCAGAGCUUGAAUCCUGGAGAGGGUGGCGGAAUUCCUGGUGUAGGAGUGAAAUCCGUAGAUAUCAGGAGGAACACCGGUGGCGAAGGCGGCCACCUGGACAGGCAUUGACGCUGAGGUGCGAAAGUGUGGGGAGCAAACAGGAUUAGAUACCCUAGUAGUC